AACGCACGAGACCUGCGGACCUGCGGAAGGAUCAUUACCGAGUUUACAAAACUCCCAAACCCUUUGUGAACCUUACCUAUCGUUGCUUCGGCGGGAACGCCCCGGCGCCCUCGCGGCCCGGAACCAGGCGCCCGCCGGAGGCCCCAAACCCUCAUGUCUUUAGUGGUUUCCUCCUCUGAGUGACAUAAACAAAUAAAGUAAAAACUUUUAACAAUGGAUCUCUAGAUCGGAAGAGCACAC
rnacentral:misc_RNA from 1 species